rnacentral:rRNA from 1 species
GAAUUCCUACGGGGGGCAGCAGUGGGGAAUAUUGCACAAUGGGGGAAACCCUGAUGCAGCGACGCCGCGUGAGUGAAGAAGUAUCUCGGUACGUAAAGCUCUAUCAGCAGGGAAGAAAGAAAUGACGGUACCUGACUAAGAAGCCCCGGCUAACUACGUGCCAGCAGCCGCGGUAAUACGUAGGGGGCAAGCGUUAUCCGGAUUUACUGGGUGUAAAGGGAGCGUAGACGGCUGUGCAAGUCUGAAGUGAAAUGCCGGGGCCCAACCCCGGAACUGCUUUGGAAACUGUACAGCUAGAGUGCAGG